CCCUUUGAUACUCUGGGCGGCACGCGCGCUACACUGGUUUAUAUAACGGGUAAUUUGGACGAUAGUCUGUAUAAAUCACUAAUAUAAAACCGUGAAUGGGAUAGUUUAUUGCAACUUACAAACUUUAACUAGGAAUCCCUUGUAGAAGUAGUGAAUUAUACUGCUUCGAAUACGUCCCUGCCGAUUGUACACACCGCCCGUCGUUUCUUCCGACUGGUACUCAUUGUGAAUUGCGAGGAGAUUCUGUCAAAUCGUUGUAAAUGCUGGGUAUUGGAGGAAGAAAAAGUCGUAACA
rnacentral:rRNA from 1 species